GGGGGCGGAGGGGGGAGGAGCCGGGGAGGGCGAGGCGGAGGCGGCGGCGGACGGAGGAGUUGGGGGAACGGUGGAGCAGGCGUCUGAGGGGGAGGGGGCGGGGCUGGAUGGAGGCCUGGGGGCCGCGGCGGGAGGUCUGGAUGGAGAGGAGCAGCAGGAGGCAGAGACCGGGGGAUCGGACGCUGAGACCGCCGGGGCGGAGACGGACGCGGUGGGGGCUGACGGAGCAACCGGCUCCGAGUCGGAAGAGGCCACCGAAGCGGGGGUUGAGGAGCUGGACGAGACGGCGGUGGCUACACCCCCCGCGGCGUCUGAGGACACCCCCCCCGUGGUGCUGGUGGUGGAGCCCACAGACAUCCUGGAGAAGAUGGAGAAACAGGUGGAGGAGAUGAUCAUUAAAGCAGGGGGCGAAGAGGUGUUGAAGCCGAGCAUAGAAGGAGCCGGCGGAGAUAGCACCAAAGAAGGAACGGAGAGAGGGGGGGCGAGCGAGGAGCAGCUUGGCGCUACGGAGGAGCCGACCGGGGGAGAGACAGAAGGGGGCGCGGGGGAGCUGGGGGGAGGGGAAGCCGCUCAGCAGCCUGGAGGAGAUGUUGAAGCGAAGGAAGAGAGUAGUCACGUGCACGGAGCAGUCGGGGUCCAACUGCCCCCUGGUGGCGACGGGGGGGAGGACAGCGAGAGGGUUGGAGAGCAGGAACAGGAGGGGGCGACUGAGAAUGAGGCAGACGAGCAAGAAGUAGAGGCAGGAGGUUUAGAGGUGAACGGAGGCUUGGCCGGUGUGGUGGGGGGAGAAGAAAACGGAGAAGGAGGGGCCGGGGCCUGGGGAGACGGGCCCGGUUGGACCAGGGGAAGACGAGGGCGUGGCACUGAACGGGGAAGAGGUGGUGACACUGGACGGCGAUGCAGCCACAGAGGCCACCACAGAGUCCUCCCAGACCGGUCAGACGAAGGAACAAGAUGUGCUGGCCCUCUCCCCCGGGGCCUCUGAACACGGGGCUGGGGACCAGGCCCCCCCGGUCCAGGAGCAGGACUCCCUGCCUCGUCCCACCCUGGUCUGGGGAGAAACAGGAAGUGAGCAUGUGGACAGAGAGGACCCUUUACUGCAAGGGACCAACCACACCAACGAGAUCCCCACCACGGACCACCUCUUCACCCAUGGCCCGGCAGUCGCCACGGAAGCUUACCAGGAUUUGAUGGAACAGGCCCUGGCCACGCCCCCUGAGACAGAAGAGGCGGAGCCAGGUGAAGCCAAUGAGUUGGUGACGGAUGCUGCUGGUCCCUCAGGAUAGCAGAAUUGGAGCCAUCAGGGGGGAAGCUGCAUCAGGUACCACAGGAGCUGGCCCUGUCGGACCUCCCACCAAGCCCGGCCGAGCUGUUCCCCAGCGCUGGAUCGGCCAAGGGUUCCUCGUACGACCUGAGGACUUCUGAUCUGUAGCAUCGUGAGCCGUUGGUUCAUCUGUGACCCUCAGCCUGUCCCUCUGUCUUAAAUAAGGCCUGAACAUGAACCCGGUGCACCAGCCCCUGUGAAGACCCCCUCAGAGCAGAGGGACUCACAGAAGAUCCAGUCCAUUGGCUCUCUCUCCCUGGCUCUCGCUCCCCUCGCUAUACCGGGGUGUACCUUUAGCCUUGCGUACUGCGUGCAAGUUCAUGUUCUAAGGUGUGAGUGUGUGUGUGUGUGUGUGUGUGUGUGUGUGUGUGUGUGUGUGUGUGUGUGUGUGUGUGUGUGUGUGUGUGUGUGUGUAAACGGCAUGAGAAAGAAGGCAGCAGGAGUGUAUCUUGAUAUUUUGUGAGACGGGUAAUUGAUUGUAGAUUGUAAACACAAUUAAGUUCAUCAGGGGAUGCAUGUGUGUGUGUGUGUGUGUGUGUGUGUGUGUGUGUGUGUGUGUGUGUGUGUGUGUGUGUGUGUGUGUUUGUUUAAAUGAGAGGAGGAUAAUAACCUGUUUAUGAUCUUGGUCUUUAGUAUUCCCAUGUAACAGUUUUUUUAAGUGUCGGUUAUUUUGGUUUACUGAUCACAUAUCCGAAGUCACUCCAUACAACAGACUAUGACAGUCAGUCUUUAAACCCUGACAGUGACCUGUUCCAUAUUUACUAUUGUUUUUCAUUUUGUUUUUCUUUCUUUCUUUUUUUUUUAACACUGCAAGAACAACCAUUUUCAUGUUGCGUCGUUGUAAAGAUGGAUUCAAAACCAUUUGGUCUGAGUUUGAUUCCACGUUGGACACCUCUGAUGUGUGCUGUACAGAAUAAAAACCAUGUUACCAUUCU
ensembl:lncRNA